UACGGAGGGUGCAAGCGUUAAUCGGAAUUACUGGGCGUAAAGGGUGCGUAGGUGGUUUAGUAAGUUAUCUGUGAAAUCCCUGGGCUUAACCUGGGCAGGUCAGAUAAGACUGUUAGACUAGAGUAUGGGAGAGGGUAGAGGAAUUUCCGGUGUAGCGGUGAAAUGCGUAGAGAUCGGAAGGAACACCAGUGGCGAAGGCAGUGUCCUGGGGAGUACCUGACGCUCAGGUGCGAAAGCCAGGGGAGCGAACGGG
rnacentral:rRNA from 1 species